rnacentral:rRNA from 1 species
UCAGAUUGAACGCUGGCGGCAGGCCUAACACCAUGCAAGUCGAACGGUAACAGGAAGAAGCUUGCUCUUUGCUGACGAGUGGCGGACGGGGUGAGUAAUGUCUGGGGAACUGCCUGAUGAGGGGGGAUAACUACUGGAAACGGUAGCUAAUACCGCAUAACGUCGCAAGACCAAAGAGGGGGACCUUCGGGCCUCUUGCCAUCGGAUGUGCCCAGAUGGGAUUAGCUUGUUGGUGGGGUAACGGCUCACCAAGGCGACGAUCCCUAGCUGGUCUGAGAGGAUGACCAGCCACACUGGAACUGAGACACGGUCCAGACUCCUACGGGAGGCAGCAGUGGGGAAUAUUGCACAAUGGGCGCAAGCCUGAUGCAGCCAUGCCGCGUGUAUGAAGAAGGCCUUCGGGUUGUAAAGUACUUUCAGCGGGGAGGAAGGGAGUAAAGUUAAUACCUUUGCUCAUUGACGUUACCCGCAGAAGAAGCACCGGCUAACUCCGUGCCAGCAGCUGC